GACCAUCCUCCAAGGCUAAAUACUCCUGACUGACCGAUAGUGAACCAGUACCGUGAGGGAAAGGCGAAAAGAACCCCGGCGAGGGGAGUGAAAAAGAACCUGAAACCGUGUACGUACAAGCAGUGGGAGCACCUUCGGGUGUGACUGCGUACCUUUUGUAUAAUGGGUCAGCGACUUAUAUUCUGUAGCAAGGUUAACCGUAUAGGGGAGCCGCAGGGAAACCGAGUCUUAACUGGGCGUUAAGUUGCAGGGUAUAGACCCGAAACCCGGUGAUCUAGCCAUGGGCAGGUUGAAGGUUGGGUAACACUAACUGGAGGACCGAACCGACUAAUGUUGAAAAAUUAGCGGAUGACUUGUGGCUGGGGGUGAAAGGCCAAUCAAACCGGGAGAUAGCUGGUUCUCCCCGAAAGCUAUUUAGGUAGCGCCUCGUGAACUCAUCUUCGGGGGUAGAGCACUGUUUCGGCUAGGGGGUCAUCCCGACUUACCAACCCGAUGCAAACUACGAAUACCGAAGAAUGUUAUCACGGGAGACACACGGCGGGUGCUAACGUCCGUCGUGAAGAGGGAAACAACCCAGACCGCCAGCUAAGGUCCCAAAGUCAUGGUUAAGUGGGAAACGAUGUGGGAAGGCACAGACAGCCAGGAUGUUGGCUUAGAAGCAGCCAUCAUUUAAAGAAAGCGUAAUAGCUCACUGGUCGAGUCGGCCUGCGCGGAAGAUGUAACGGGGCUAAACCAUGCACCGAAGCUGCGGCAGCGACACUAUGUGUUGUUGGGUAGGGGAGCGUUCUGUAAGCCUGCGAAGGUGUGCUGUGAGGCAUGCUGGAGGUAUCAGAAGUGCGAAUGCUGACAUAAGUAACGAUAAAGCGGGUGAAAAGCCCGCUCGCCGGAAGACCAAGGGUUCCUGUCCAACGUUAAUCGGGGCAGGGUGAGUCGACCCCUAAGGCGAGGCCGAAAGGCGUAGUCGAUGGGAAACAGGUUAAUAUUCCUGUACUUGGUGUUACUGCGAAGGGGGGACGGAGAAGGCUAUGUUAGCCGGGCGACGGUUGUCCCGGUUUAAGCAUGUAGGCUGGUUAUCCAGGCAAAUCCGGAUAAUCAAGGCUGAGGUGUGAUGACGAGGCACUACGGUGCUGAAGUAACAAAUGCCCUGCUUCCAGGAAAAGCCUCUAAGCAUCAGGUAACAUCAAAUCGUACCCCAAACCGACACAGGUGGUCAGGUAGAGAAUACCAAGGCGCUUGAGAGAACUCGGGUGAAGGAACUAGGCAAAAUGGUGCCGUAACUUCGGGAGAAGGCACGCUGGUGUGUAGGUGAAGUCCCUGCGGAUGGAGCUGAGACCAGUCGAAGAUACCAGCUGGCUGCAACUGUUUAUUAAAAACACAGCACUGUGCAAACACGAAAGUGGACGUAUACGGUGUGACGCCUGCCCGGUGCCGGAAGGUUAAUUGAUGGGGUUAUCCGUAAGGAGAAGCUCUUGAUCGAAGCCCCGGUAAACGGCGGCCGUAACUAUAACGGUCCUAAGGUAGCGAAAUUCCUUGUCGGGUAAGUUCCGACCUGCACGAAUGG
rnacentral:rRNA from 1 species